UACGUAGGGCGCAAGCGUUAUCCGGAAUUAUUGGGCGUAAAGAGCUCGUAGGCGGUUUGGCAAGUCGGGUGUGAAAUUUCGAGGCUCAACCUCGAAACGCCACUCGAUACUGCCAUGACUGGAGUCCGGUAGAGGAGUGCGGAAUUCCUGGUGUAGCGGUGAAAUGCGCAGAUAUCAGGAGGAACACCAACGGCGAAGGCAGCACUCUGGGCCGGUACUGACGCUGAGGAGCGAAAGCGUGGGGAGCAAACAGG
rnacentral:rRNA from 1 species